rnacentral:rRNA from 1 species
UACGUAGGGUCCGAGCGUUGUCCGGAAUUAUUGGGCGUAAAGGGCUCGUAGGCGGUUUGUCACGUCGGGAGUGAAAUCUUACAGCUUAACUGUGAACUUGCUUUCGAUACGGGCACACUUGAGGCAUUCAGGGGAGAACGGAAUUCCUGGUGUAGCGGUGAAAUGCGCAGAUAUCAGGAGGAACACCGGUGGCGAAGGCGGUUCUCUGGGAAUGUACUGACGCUGAGGAGCGAAAGUGUGGGGAGCGAACAGG